GAUGAACGCUGACAGAAUGCUUAACACAUGCAAGUCGAUGGGGAAGUGGUGCUUGCACCAUGGCAACCAUGGCGGACGGGUGAGUAACGCGUAAGGGACUUACCUGCAGGACUGGGAUAACAGGGGGAAACUCCUGACAAGACCGGAUAAUGUCAUGGAGCUGCAUGGCUUUAUGAUGAAAGGAGACGCCUGCAGAGAGCCUUGCGUCCUAUUAGCUAGUUGGUGAGGUAAUGGCUCACCAAGGCGAAGAUAGGUAGCCGGCCUGAGAGGGUGGACGGCCACAAGGGGACUGAGAUACGGCCCUUACUCCUACGGGAGGCAGCAGUGGGGAAUAUUGGACAAUGGGGGCAACCCUGAUCCAGCAAUUCUGUGUGCACGAAGAAGGUUUUCGGAUUGUAAAGUGCUUUCAGCAGGGAAGAAGUAAGUGACGGUACCUGCAGAAGAAGCGACGGCUAAAUACGUG
rnacentral:rRNA from 1 species